UACGUAGGCAGCAAGCGUUGUUCGGAUUUACUGGGCGUAAAGGGUGUGUAGGCGGCCCCCUAAGUUUGGUGUGAAAUCUCCCGGCUUAACCGGGAGGGUGCGCCGAAGACUGGAGGGCUAGAGUGCGGGAUGGGAGAGUGGAAUUCCUGGUGUAGCGGUGAAAUGCGUAGAUAUCAGGAGGAACACCUGUGGUGUAGACGGCUCUCUGGACCUGAUCUGACACUGAGGUGCGAAAGCUAGGGUAGCAAACGGG
rnacentral:rRNA from 1 species